UGUUGUGGUGAGCUCCUAACUUCAUGCUCGCCCGAAGGCAAUCUUGUAGAGCAAUGUUUUUGAGCAUGUUUUACAUAUUUUUUUAACCUAUUCAUCUUAGCUUUGACUUGAUUUUUUGAGAAAUAGCGAAAACAAUUUGGAAUUGGCACAUGAUCAGCUCAACUGAACUUUCUUUGUGAUUCAAAUAGGUGACGUCGCAACAUUUUUUUUUAAUUUUAUCAUUUUAAGGUCAACACGUCAGGUCAGAAUUGUAAAUCAUGCUUGAAGAACUAGUUCCCAGCCUACUUUAGUGCUUGAAGAAUCUAGUUCUCGGCAUACUUAAGUUUGAUUGGCUACCAUAAUAGAUUCUAGACCAGGCAGAAGUUCAAAUUACUCAUUACUAUAGAGAAGCCAAUCAGGUGGCUGAUCUUCUUGCCAAAAAAGCUGCAAACAGUGGCAAUAGCUCAUAGCCUCAUACUACUACACAUUCCAGCAAUUGCCUAGAGAAGCUAAGGGUCCUUUUCACGUGGAUAAAUGACAGUUGCCUAGCAUAAGAAGUAGAUUUGACAAAGCCACUUUUUUGUAAGUUAAUGUAUUUUCUUUCCUCAUGGAAGAGAAGCUGCAUAUGAUUAGCUCUUUCAUGAGUUUUUUGAAGGCUGUUUCAGCUGCAGUCCAGUGCAUAUGGAAGGUCAGGUAUAUGGGCCCCCUUCUCUUUUGUCAUCUUUACCUUCUAUAUACAUGGUAGGGGUCAAGCCAAACCCCCAACACCUCCGGAUCCUUUCCCUGGCUGAUGGCUUUCAAUUAAAAAAAAGACUACCAUAAUAGAGGAACAUAACUAUCUCCACAAUGAAUUCAAUUCCCACUUGUGAGCACUGAACUGUUUCUGUUUUCUGGUAAAGGGGGACAUGCCUUCGCUUGGCUCACAAUUUCAGCAAGCCUGUCCCUCCACUGCCCCCCAAUAAAAGCAAAGAUAAAUUUCUGACAUGACAAUGAAUUUUCUUAUGCAGUAUCACAAAUUGGCAGCAGAAGCUUUUUACUUGAUGGCCAUUGUAUAUGACAAGCUGGGGAAGCUGGACCACAAGGAAGAAGCAGCUUAUUCAUUUAGGAAACACAUCACUGCUCUUGAAAGCUCUGAUAUUGAAGAUCCUCUUCAAUAUUGUUGCUAAGAACCAGUAUUUUACGUAAAUAUGCCCUUGGCAGCUGGCAAAUCCGUGUUCGACCACCUCAUACAUGCUUUUUUACAGCUUCAUUCAUGCACCAUGAGAAGCAUUCUAAAUUUCUAAUGGAACACCCAUGUGGACAUUGAUUGUGAUAUAAUCAUAUAAAGGCAGUGAAGAUAUCAUGGAUGUGGUGGCUUUCCGAUUGCAAUAUUAGAAACGCCUCAAAUUUCUGGGCAAGUGUAUCGUCACUAUCCUCCAAUAUCAGAUUGAGGCACAUUUUUGUUGUUGAUGGUGGUUGAGUAACAUUAGCGCUAGAUGGCCAUGCUAUACCAGUUAGAGUGUACCAACACUUUUGAGUAUGAUUGUUGGAAGAUUACCAUGAUUUUGUUGGCCCGUUUGCGAGGCCGAAAAGGCUAAGGCUAAAUGAUUACUCGGGGGUGUUGAACUAGAUGUCCACAAUCACUGAUCGGGAGAUAGAGAUCUAAAGAAGCGUCCUGAAGAGAUUGUCUAGGAUUGUAGUUAUGCUUUAGAGGAAAAGAUCUCCGUCGAUCAUCAAACUGUACAUGAAUUUGGCCAAAGACUAACAAGAUGCAACGACCCUUUUUCACUGCUUCAUAAAUUGAGCUUUCAAUGGCCAUUCUUUCAUAAUCCCAUGUUCCAAGAAGAGUUAGUUUUAUGAAAUGUGCAAGUACAGAGAUAUUGCAUCACUAUUACGGCAUAUUGUGCCAAUGAAUGCCCCUGAUUCGUUGCUUUUCACAUUCAAUGUUCUUGGAAGCUUGUGUUGAAACUUUGCCUUUUACAACAACGGAGAUAGUUCCAUAUGGAUGGUUGAAAUUGGUGCAAAUUCUCUCUGUUGCGAAACGUAUGGUGUCCCAACUCUACUAAGCUGUUCAAGUUUUGUGGGAUGCAAAUGUUUAAUGUUCAUGCCUAUUAUUUUAUUCUAGGGAUAAUUUUAGAGUUACUUCGUAACACUAACUUUUUACGUGAUUUACGAUAUUAAUUUUACCUCCGUUAUUUUAUGUUA